AUACGUAGGGUGCAAGCGUUAAUCGGAAUUACUGGGCGUAAAGCGUGCGCAGGCGGUUUUGUAAGACAGUGGUUAAAUCCCCGGGCUCAACCUGGGAACUGCCCUUGUGACCGCCAGGCUGGAGUGCGGCAGAGGGGGGUGGAAUUCCGCGUGUAGCGGUGAAAUGCGUAGAUAUGCGGAGGAACACCGAUGGCGAAGGCAAUCCCCUGGGCCUGCACUGACGCUCAUGCACGAAAGCGUGGGGAGCAAACAGGAUUAGAUACCCUGGUAGUCCACGCCCUAAACGAUGUCAACUGGUUGUUGGGGAUUUAUUUUCUCAGUAACGAAGCUAACGCGUGAAGUUGACCGCCUGGGGAGUACGGACGCAAGGUUAAAACUCAAAUGAAUUGGCGGGG
rnacentral:rRNA from 1 species